AAUAAAUGGCCAGCCCAUUAAAAGCAGAGUGCGCACAUCAGUCUGAUAAUGAACAACUGAAAUUACUAAAAGAAAUGCCCAGCUACAAAGUGGACCCAGAGGAGGCAGCUCUUGCACCAGGUGCUCUCAAUUGACUUUGACUGCACAUUACAAUCAGCUGGGAAGCUUUAAACUUCCCAAUGCCCAGGCCACACCCUACAUGUAACCAGACCCUCUGGAUGGGACCCAGGUGAUUCCAAUGUGCAAGGGUAAGAUCCUCUGCCUUGUAAUCUAGCCUUACUAGGUUUGCUCUCAGAAUGCAUGUCUCCUAGCCUGAAAAUCUGAAGUAUUCCAAAGGAAUCCUGGGCCUGGAGCUCCAAUGGCAGGGCUGGGAGCUGGUAGGGCUUGGCUACGCAUUCAUUAGAAAACCUGAUGCUGUCCGGGCAUGGUGGAACCACUGGCCAAAAUAAGAACUGCAGUGCACUGGGAAUUAGCUCAGGGGCCUGGCCUCAGGGAGCUCACCAUCAACAAGAGGCAGGACCACUGUACAAUGAGCUGUGUAUGCACAAAACAAGAAGGGAUGUGAUCUGUGCUGUGGGAGGCAGAAGGAAAACCACUAUUCAGAGCUGCCAGGCAGCUUUUUAGGAGAUGCUGGCUUUGAGCUUGGUCUUCACAGAUUCUUGUCAGAUAUGGACAUGCAGAGACCCUAGGGGGCCAAGGAUGGAAAACUUGGUUAUGUUCCUUAUCUAAGAUGCAGGAGCAAUGAAAGUAGUUGGCAUUGCUAGGGUAGUUCAAGCUUGCUCCAUCUUUCCAUACAAUUCAGGCAGAGAGUAGCUUUUUUUUUUCUUUAAAACCAGCUUCUACAUUAAGGACACAAGAGACCAGCUCUUAAUAUUCACCCCAUCUUGGCUCUAGGAUCCAACUCUGUACCUACGAUAAGGUCACCGUGGCAGUUGAAGCCUGCUGCCCCGAUACUUGGGGGAAGAAAUGGUUUAAACCACAUUUUCCUAACCACCUGAUUUUUUAUGUUAGGGAUGGGUGUGUGGGAACAGUCAAAAAGGAAAGAAAAG
rnacentral:lncRNA from 1 species